UUUUAUGACAUUAAACAUUUGAGUACUUCAAGAUUAAUUUUUAGGGUGCAGGUAUAGCUUACAUUAAUUAAUGAAUCAAAUGAUAGUGUGACCAAGCGUCGAAUAGUGCCAUCUACAGAUAAUCAGCAUAUACCUUAAAGCUCGUGGAUACGCAGGCAUCGGGACUGCGGAGGCUAGUGACUACGUGCUUGUGCAGACAAGUACGUCACACUUAACACAGGUGUAGCGGAUUUCAACAUGACAGUCUCCAACCUGACUGCACUGGCAGACUGACGUGGCUUCUGAGUUGAGUGGAACACAGAAACGUAACCAAAACUAUCUGCAACCACUGAAAUAUUCAAGGGAGGCGAUUCUCUAGGUAGCUGGCGAAAGAUCAAGGUCAGUAUGAGCACAAGGACUGAUUUAAAUAUUAUCAUAGACACCUACGUAGUCUGUAUGUGUUGGCAACACAUGGAUUGUCAGAAGGCCAACAAAAAAUAUAAGACUUUUCAGUGAGUCUUAAUAUGUCCCCACACCGUAGGUCUCUAUUUUCAUGAAGUGGUGACCAGUGAAGUGGUGUUUUAACAGUAAUAAUUCUGAAGGAGAGAUACUAAAAGAUACCUGAAACCCCAAUGCUCAUAUUUCCCUAGGCUUUCUGUGUCCCUUGUUCCUCUGCUUUGAGUGUAUCAUUAUGUUUGGCCCUGACAAUGUAUAAACUGAAUAAUGUUUUAAACGCUCUUUCAGUGGGUAUGCUUUACAGUAUGUAGCAUACACAUCAACUCUAAACAAAUGUUUAAUUCUUACAAAACCAUCUUCCUUUAUCAAGACAUUUAGCUUUCUGGUUGUUAUGCUUUGCGAUUGCGUUAUACGGAGGGGUAAUCCUUCCCAGGGAUAUGUGAUGUAAUGGCUUUGUUUAAACCAAUAGAGUGCCACUUCUGCCGUGCAGCAGUGUCUGCAUCUGGCCAAACUGAGGAGUGAGAAUAUUCUGUUUUAAUUACAAUCCGGCUUAAGAUGCAGCGCUGUUGUCCUGGCAUGUCAUCCCACAUCAGGACUGUUAAGUCCCGUUUACACAAUGUCCAGAGGCUCCUUCAUUGCCUUGUGACAUGAAUUAGAUGUGUGUGGAGUUUUAUUUUUGUUUUCUUCUGCACUGUGUCCAUAGUCCUAUUUGGCUGUGUCACUGAUUUAUUUUUGUGGUAAUUUGGUGAUUGUGUUCAUGUCCUGUUAGAUCUGCCUUAAGGAACAUGUGUAAGGGUAUUUUGUGUCCUUGACUACCACUGUGGUGAUGGCUCCCACUGGCACGGGAAGGUUGAGAGGGGAGAGGAAGUGUGUGUGUGUGUGUGUGUGUGUGUGAGUGUGAGAGAGUGAAUGAGAGCUGGAGAGUUCAGUAUGAUAUCAAAAGAGCUGUUGAACCAAGUGUUAUUGACCCACGUAAGAUGGCUAGUUACUAAAAAAUUAUUAAAAAAAACAAAGCAAUAAAAAAA